AGCCUAUGCUGUGAAUACAUUAGCAUGGAAUAACGCGAUAGGAUUUCGAUCCUGUUGUGUUGGCCUUCGGGAUGGGAGUAAUGAUUAAUAGGGACUGUCGGGGGCAUUCGUAUUUCAUUGUCAGAGGUGAAAUUCUUGGAUUUAUGAAAGACGAACUAGUGCGAAAGCAUUUGCCAAGGAUGUUUUCAUUAAUCAAGAACGAAAGUUGGGGGCUCGAAGACGAUCAGAUACCGUCCUAGUCUCAACCAUAAACGAUGCCGACCAGGGAUCGGCGGAUGUUGCUCUUAGGACUCCGUCGGCACCUUCCGAGAAAUCAGAGUGUUUGGGUUCCGGGGGGAGUAUGGUCGCAAGGCUGAAACUUAAAGGAAUUGACGGAAGGGCACCACCAGGAGUGGAGCCUGCGGCUUAAUUUGAAUGAACACGGGAAAACUUACCAGGUCCAGACAUAGUAAGGAAGAGAGAUUGAGAGCUCUUUCUUGAUUCUAUGGGUGGUGGUGCAUG
rnacentral:rRNA from 1 species